ensembl:lncRNA
CUAGACCUGACCCCUCCAGCUAAAUCCAGGUGAUGGUGAUUUUGUCUCAGCAAUGAGGAAAAUAACUAAGACAACAACCAACACAGAAAGUACUGGAAUCUGGUAGAGCACUCUUCUUGCCUCCACCUUUAACACUGAAACUGCCUCCUAGGGACUUUGACAAGUUUGACAAGUGGCAAAACAAUUCAGAAGUUUCUUUGCUGGCUGAUGAUAGGGCACAAACAUGCUGCUGGGAUUCCUGGGACACAGGACUUCUUGUGCUAAAACUGGGAAUGUUCCAGGCAGAAGAGGACAAGUUUGUCACCUUAGUAGGCCCUGUGCCCUCUCCCCAGGGGCCUUUCCAAACAAAUAACAAAUCAUGAUUGAAUGAAUUGAAAUUAAAAUUUUACUAAUCUGCUAUGUGAGAUUGGAGGUUAGAAAGA